rnacentral:lncRNA from 1 species
UGAAAGUUAGGAGCUGAAAACACCUAACCAGAAGCUGAUACACCAACAGCUGGUGAGAGGAAACCAAGGUUACUGUACAACCUUGAAACUUGAACUAAACAGGUCAAACUGAUUAGACAUCUCUCUACAACACAUAAAGGUGUUUUCGAGACACACAAACCUGAAACAUACCCAAAGAGGCAAGGCUAACCCUGCAAGCAACAUCGGGGAAGGAUAAGCUUAUCAAGACUAGAAGGUGCAAAGCUGGCAUGAGGCUCCCUUGGGCAGAGCAACAUAAAAGGAGGGUCUUGUUCCAUCCCAAAGUAAGUCAAUCUCUCUCACUCUCACUCUAAAACUCUUAUCCUUUCAUUUCGCUUAGACUCUUAAGAUCAUCCUACUGAUUCUCAUGCCGAAGUCCAAACGCGGGAGGCCACCUCUCGCGUUAAGACUAACGGUGUUCUUUGAUUGCAGAUUUCAACAAAGGAGCUACCUUUUGGAGUUAAUAGUGGACCCUUCCCCCUGACAUAUUCUUGUUACUUUCACAAGUGGCGCCCACCAUCGGGCUGCACUACUUAGAACAAUUUUUCCGGUAGUAUAGCCUUGUUCCUAAGUUACAUUCUCUUAUGGCUGGAAAUGAUCAUUAUCCAAAGGAAGUUUCAAGCAGUUCCUUGUCUCGGUCUAGUCCUCCGGCUACUCCCGGAGUAGGUAGUUGUUUCAAAGGGCGAACCAUCGAAUAAUUUGAUUUGAAAGUGAUUACACGCCUCUUAGAUCAUCCAAUGUAAUCUCGAGAAUUUUACGGAGAUCUGACGGCGCGUCGCAGCAAAUGCAGAAGAAUUCCGAUCUCCGAUGGCUGGCUCUUUCUUAGUUGGUUGUUCCUUCAGACUCGUGUAAUAUUUCAUUAUUCUUGCUUACUAAAAGUGAGUUUGAUUUCUCUAUAGCGAUUAAUCAGGGGUACGUGCCUUGAUAUAACAUGAAGAGAUUUAUACACAAGGAGAAAUGAAAAGGAGAUGAUCAUGUUCUGUAUAUCUUUGUGUUUAUGUUGACAUAACCAUGACAUCUCUGAUCAAUGUAUGAAAUGUUAGAUUAAACAGAUUAAAUACAACUGGAAUUCUACGAAACAUUAAGCAUAAAUGAAAAUGCAAAAUAUCUCCUGGCAAAUUUUUA